rnacentral:pre_miRNA from 1 species
AUUCUACUCCCUCCCUUGCACAAUACAUGCCUUCUAUUUGUCAAAAUAUAUAUGUAUCUAGACAUGUUUUAGUAUAUAGGUACAUCCAUUUUUGGACAAAUGGAAGUCAAGUAUUUUGGAAUGGAGGGAGUACACA